UACGUAGGGCGCAAGCGUUAUCCGGAAUUAUUGGGCGUAAAGAGCUCGUAGGCGGUUUGUCGCGUCUGCCGUGAAAAGUCCCGGGGGCUCAACUCCGGAUCUGCGGUGGGUACGGGGCAGACUAGAGUGAUGUAGGGGGAGACUGGAAUUCCUGGUGUAGCGGUGAAAAUGCGCAGAUAUCAGGAGGAACACCAACGGCGAAAAGCACUCUGCUGGGCCGACACUGACACUGAGAGACGAAAGCUAGGGGAGCGAAUGGG
rnacentral:rRNA from 1 species